AUGAAGGUGGCGGCGUUAUAUACUUGUCUGCGGUGGUGGUUGGGGCUUCACUUGGAGGUCACUGUUCUGGCUGGCGGCGGCCGGCGGCAGGACGUCGUAGUCAAACUCACACAUGGAAAGCCACUCUCCCCCGACGAUACGCUUGUCUCCAAAGGUGGGGACUUCACGAUCAGCUUCUUCUCCCCAGCAACCUCCAACACGAGCUUAUACCUUGGUAUGUGGUACCAUAACAUCCAGGGCCGCGCAGUAAUGUGGACUGGCAAUCAUGACAACCCAAUCACUGCCACUUCAUCUCCCAUGCUUGCCAUCACCAACAAUCCCGACCUUGUGUUGUCUGACACCCGAGGUCACACUUAUUGGGCAGCAAAGAUGAAUAACAUCACCACCACGGGAGUUGCUGCACUGGACCCGAACCGCAUCUCCAUGCUCAACGCGUAUGGUGCGCUGGUGUUUGGUGGCAUAUACCAAAAGAUCAUCUCCUAUGAAACGGUUGGGAGCACAGCUAGUAGCUAUGACAGCUACACCUUGCGUGGCCCAUUCAGCUAUGUCGACUACAUUGGUGCUGAACCUUCAUUCCAUUGCAUCGAUGGGUUUGAUGCCGCUAGUAUCAACUUCUCUAGCAAAUGUAGAAGAACAACGGUGCUGAAAUGUGGCAAGCCAAGUAAUUUUGUGACCUUGCCUCGAAUGAAGGUUGAAGACAAAUUUUUACCUAUCCUAAAUAGAAGCAUUGAAGAGUGCAUGGCUCAGGUUCAGCCUGUUAAAAAAAAGAGUGCAUGGCUCAGUGCUGCAACAAUUGCUCUUGUAUGGCACAUGCUUACACCAACUCCGGUAUUAAUAGCAUUAUGGCAGACCAAUCAAGUUGAAACAAAGAGCAGAUUGGUAAGGAUUGUGCUUCCGCCCAUAGCCUGCGUAUUAAUGAUCACAUGCAUAGUCCUUGUAAGGAUAUGCAGAUGCCAAGGUGAAAAUCAAAAUUUCCCAUUUGUUAGCUUUGAAGAUAUGGUCACCGAAAUGGAUAACUUCUCUCGGUAG
rnacentral:rRNA from 1 species